rnacentral:lncRNA from 1 species
GUGCGGAGGAGGUGGGGGAAAAGCAUGAGAAUUGCUUGGCCUAAGUGUACCCAAGGGUGCCUGUGGGGUGCUGUGGUCGGACUCAGAGAGGAUCGAGCAGGGCUUGCACUCAGAUUGGAAAGAACUGAAAUGAGAAAAAUUAGAGUUGCUCAGAUUCAAUCAAAUCAUCUUACAUUUUCUUCUUGUCUGUCUGUGGUGAACUAUGGAAGACCAGUGGGAAGAAUGAGUUCUAAUUGGCCUCCUCGGCGAGCACUGCGAAGACAGAGGGCAAGCAAGCUGCUAACACGCUGCAGGGAGAGGUCACAGCACCCGAGGUGGAGUUGUUCCACCGGAGAAGCGCCAUGGAGCGCG